UACGUAGGGUGCGAGCGUUAAUCGGAAUUACUGGGCGUAAAGCGUGCGCAGGCGGUUCUGAAAGUCAGCUGUGAAAGCCCCCGGGCUUAACCUGGGAAUGGCGGUUGAAACUACAGGACUAGAAUCUGGCAGAGGGGGGUGGAAUUCCACGUGUAGCAGUGAAAUGCGUAGAGAUGUGGAGGAACACCGAUGGCGAAGGCAGCCCCCUGGGCUGAGAUUGACGCUCAGGCACGAAAGCGUGGGGAGCAAACAGG
rnacentral:rRNA from 1 species